GUGAGACCCUGCCUCAAAUUUUCAAAAAAGGAGCUGGGUAUGUAGUUCAGUGGUAGAGCGCCCCUGAGCGCAAACCCUGGUACCAAACCAAAAGAAGGAAAUAAGUCUAGACAAAACCACAUGGGGUGAAAGAAGGAGCCCCGAGUGCUCAUCCAGAAGAGAUCUGGAUGACUCCCUUCUUACCCUAGGUUUCGGGUGUAUUUACCAAUGGCUCCUGUGAGUUGUGAGGUCCUGGGGUGGGCCUCAGAGGGCCUGCUGCUGACCUCCCCGUUCAGAGCCUGGCAGGAUCCACUCCACCUGGAUGGAGUGGCCUGGCCAACAUCGUGAGAUCUCUUGAGGUUUACGUGCCCUGUCACAGCACGCCGUUAUUCAGGUGCACUGCUGCUACAGUCAGCUCCAGAAAGGCCCUGCACCUGGGGUUGAUGGGUAAAAAGGAGCCCCCACUCCUCCAGCCUGACUUUUCAGGAGGCUGCUGCUGCGCCCGCCCUCCCAAACCUGUCCUAGGCUCCCUGGUGCCAUGAUCUCUUUCAAGAUCCACAUCUCUUUUAAGGAGAGCCACUUUAAUGGAGAUAUGAAUACAUCCCAGGAAAGACAAGCCCCUUCCAGAAGAUGGGCAAAGGUGAGAGGUGAUCAG
rnacentral:lncRNA from 1 species